UACGAAGGGGGCUAGCGUUGCUCGGAAUGACUGGGCGUAAAGGGCGCGUAGGCGGAUGGUACAGUCAGAUGUGAAAUUCCUGGGCUUAACCUGGGGGCUGCAUUUUGAUACGUAUUGUCUAGAGUGAGGAAGAGGGUCGUGGAAUUCCCAGUGUAGAGGUGAAAUUCGUAGAUAUUGGGAAGAACACCGGUGGCGAAGGCGGCGACCUGGUCCUUGACUGACGCUGAGGCGCGAAAGCGUGGGGAGCAAACAGG
rnacentral:rRNA from 1 species